rnacentral:rRNA from 1 species
GACGAACGCUGGCGGCGCGCCUAACACAUGCAAGUCGAACGAGCGAGAGAGAGCUUGCUUUCUCAAGCGAGUGGCGAACGGGUGAGUAACGCGUGAGGAACCUGCCUCAAAGAGGGGGACAACAGUUGGAAACGACUGCUAAUACCGCAUAAGCCCACGGGUCGGCAUCGACCAGAGGGAAAAGGAGCAAUCCGCUUUGAGAUGGCCUCGCGUCCGAUUAGCUAGUUGGUGAGGUAAUGGCCCACCAAGGCGACGAUCGGUAGCCGGACUGAGAGGUUGAACGGCCACAUUGGGACUGAGACACGGCCCAGACUCCUACGGGAGGCAGCAGUGGGGAAUAUUGCACAAUGGGGGAAACCCUGAUGCAGCGACGCCGCGUGGAGGAAGAAGGUCUUCGGAUUGUAAACUCCUGUUGUUGAGGAAGAUAAUGACGGUACUCAACAAG